rnacentral:rRNA from 1 species
UACGUAGGUGGCAAGCGUUGUCCGGAAUUAUUGGGCGUAAAGCGCGCGCAGGCGGUCCUUUAAGUCUGAUGUGAAAGCCUACGGCUCAACCGUGGAGGGUCAUUGGAAACUGGGGGACUUGAGUGCAGAAGAGGAAAGCGGAAUUCCACGUGUAGCGGUGAAAUGCGUAGAGAUGUGGAGGAACACCAGUGGCGAAGGCGGCUUUCUGGUCUGUAACUGACGCUGAGGCGCGAAAGCGUGGGGAGCAAACAGG